UACGGAGGGUGCAAGCGUUAAUCGGAAUUACUGGGCGUAAAGCGCGCGUAGGCGGCUUUGCAAGUCGGGUGUGAAAUCCCCAGGCUUAACCUGGGAACUGCAUUCGAGACUGCAUUGCUAGAGUAUGGGAGAGGGAAGUGGAAUUUCCGGUGUAGCGGUGAAAUGCGUAGAUAUCGGAAGGAACAUCAGUGGCGAAGGCGGCAUCCUGGACCAAUAUUGACGCUGAGGAGCGAAAGCCAGGGGAGCAAAGCGGGG
rnacentral:rRNA from 1 species